rnacentral:tRNA from 1 species
GGCGGCAUAGCUCAGUUGGUCAGAGUACUCGGUUCAUACCCGAUUGGUCGUGUGUUCGAAUCACACUGCCGCUA